UCCUGCUGCGGAACGGAACGUCUGGUUGCUGGAGAGUAUUUGACCACUUCCUCUUUUGUAGGUUUACUUCCUGCCAGUUUCCACUUAAGCACUGGACCAAUACCAUUAUCUUCCAUCUGGAGACAUUGUAGACUUGAUGAGUUGUACUUUGACAUCCAUUGUGUCCCUUCAGUUUCUACGGAGGAGCACGAAAUCCGUGAGGUAGAUCUAGAUUCUUGAAGACCACGACGCCUCCGUCGACUUUUACGACCUGCCAUUGUGAUUUAUUUUUAUUUGAUGUUUGCUUAAUAAAAUUUUUGUUUCUCAAA